rnacentral:ncRNA from 2 species
UCGAAUUCUCAGGGCGGGGCGAAAUUCCCCACCGGCGGUAGUUCAAACAGCAGAGUCUGCCAUUUGAAAAGCCCGCGAGCGCUUAAAAGGUUUGUUACGCAACCAACCUUUUAAGGUCAGCAGAUCUGGUCCAGUACUUACUAUAAGUAUCAAUCCAGAGCCGACGGUUAUAGUCCGGAUGAAAGAGAAUCGGU